GCGGGAAUGGCGAAAUUGGUAUACGCGCUAGACUUAGAAUCUAGUAUUUGUGAGUUCGAAUCUCUCUUCCCGUA
rnacentral:tRNA from 2 species